CCAUUCACCUAAUAAUAUCAACGAAUAUGACAGAAAAUGCAAUUAGAUCACAGUUGCAAAUACAUGAUAUUCUUUUGAAGGAUGAAAAGAUCGUGAAGGAAAACUUGGUGGUAGGUCCUGAAGUUCUAAGGCAUCUUUGUGAUAGGGGUGUGCAGGAGUUUAUUUUCUUGACUUCAACUUAAUGAAACUAGAGUUCCAGAAA